AUGGAAUUGAAAGGCACAGACAGAAUAAUCAGCAGACUCUCACCAUGCAAGUGCCAAUACCACUGAGUAAUGAAAAGGAAAGCGUGGGUGAUACGUGCACGAGUGGAUGGACCUUCAGAUAUUAUACUAAGUAGUUUUAAGCCAAUUUCAAAAAGAACCACCCACAUGCGCAUGCGUGUGUGUAUAGCUGGUGAACACUCGGUCAGCUCUAUGGAUCGUUCCAAUGCCAGCAUCAUAAUGCUAACGUUUCAGUCUAGAUCUGUGAGGUGCUGAUGUUGCUGGAGGAGGGUGAAGAGUAUAUGGGGCCUCUUGUACACCUUUUCUACAAAUUCCUGUGAGUCUAUGAUUAUUUCAAGACAAAAAGGUUGAAAGAAAGCAUAUUAAUUGCUGUGUUGGCCCAUGUUAGAAAUGUAUUACUAGCGUUGACUGGGUCACACAGCUGUCUUUUGCAUCACAGCGGUAGACAAAACUGAGGAAAGGCUCCAAUAGGGGAGGACCUGAAUCCAGGCAACUGCUUCUCUGUGAAAAAAUGGCAUCACUCAGGACGCUUCCCAAGAAAUAUUUGAGCAGCACCUCAGCCAAUAUGCAACUGCCCCAAAGAGGAAAUGCAGGAGCACUGUAGAACCCAAAGGCAGCAUUUGAAAGAUUUUCACAGUGUGCAUCCCAUCCUUCCUCAUGACAGCCCUGGAAGAACCGAAGCUGAAGAAUCGUGUUGCCGCCCUUUGCAUCCAUGGCUUCCUCUGGUGAUGAGUUUCUCCCAGCGAGCAGAAAUCACCACUUGGCCACCAUUAAGCAAGUGCUCAUAAACAAAGUCUAAACUCUACUACAAUAAGGUUUGCGUGGAAGGAGAAGAGGAAUUUUUACAAAGCACCAUAUGCAGCAGAAAUGUCUCUAAAUACAGUCUGAGGCAUGUGGAGGAGCUGAAUCAGACAGGUCCAGACUGCAUGGAGCAGGAAGACGUUCAGACAGCUGCGUCCCAUGCUGGUACUUGCUUCCUCAUCCAUAAACCCAGCAGGUGAACCAUAAGAAGUCUUUGGACAGCUAGACCCACCUAACCCAAAUC
ensembl:lncRNA